AAUAUUGUACAAUGGGGGAAACCCUGAUCCAGCAAUCCCGCGUGUAUGAUGAAGGACUUCGGGUUGUAACGUACUUUUGGUAGAGAAGAAAAGGUAUCUCCUAAUACGAGAUACUGCUGACGGUAUCUGCAGAAUAAGCACCGGCUAACUCCGUGCCAGCAGCCGUGGUAAUACGUAGGGUGCAAGCGUUAAUCGGAAUUUCUGGGCGUAAAGCGUGUGUAGGCGGUUCGGAAAGAAAGAUGUGAAAUCCCAGGGCUCAACCUUGGAACUGCAUUUUUAACUGCCGAGCUAGAGUAUGUCAGAGGGGGAUAGAAUUCCACGUGUAGCAGUGAAAUGCGUAGAUAUGUGGAGGAAUACCGAUGGCGAAGGCAGCCCCCUGGGAUAAUACUGACGCUCAGACACGAAAGCGUGGGGAGCAAACA
rnacentral:rRNA from 1 species